rnacentral:rRNA from 1 species
GGGAUUAGACGCGAAACCUUGUGAUCUACCCAUGGGCAGGUUGAAGCUUUGGUAACACAAAGUGGAGGACCGAACCGGUUGACGUUGAAAAGUCUUCGGAUGACCUGUGGGUAGGGGUGAAAGGCCAAUCAAACUGGGAGAUAGCUCGUACUCCCCGAAAUGCAUUUAGGUGCAGCGUCGAUAUAGUUUAUUAGAGGUAGAGCUACUGAUUGGAUGCGGGGGUUUCAUCGCCUACCAAUUCCUGACAAACUCCGAAUGCUAAUAAAUGAUUGUCGGCAGUGAGGGCAUGGGUGCUAAGGUCCAUGUCCGAGAGGGAAAGAACCCAGACCAACAGCUAAGGUCCCUAAAUAUAUGCUAAGUUGAAAGAACGCGGUUGGACUGCAUUGACAGCUAGGAUGUUGGCUUGGAAGCAGCCAUUCAUUUAAAGAGUGCGUAACAGCUCACUAGUCGAGCGGUCCGGCAUGGAUAAUAAUCGGGCAUAAGCAUAUUACCGAAGCUAUGGCAGUAUUUAAUACUGGGUAGGGGAGCAUUCUAUUUGCGCCGAAGCAGUACUGUGAGGUAUUGUGGAGCGGAUAGAAAAGAAAAUGUAGGCAUAAGUAACGAUAAAGGGGGCGAGAAACCCCCUCACCGAAAGACUAAGGUUUCCUCAGCCAUGCUAAUCAGCUGAGGGUUAGUCGGGGCCUAACGCGAAGCCGACAGGCGUAGUGGAUGGACAACGGGUUAAUAUUCCCGUACCAGUAUAUUAAUAAAAGUGACGGAGUUGGAAACUAGGUGCGUACUGACGGAAUAGUACGUUGAAGUAAUCGCGAGAUUACGAUAGUACAGCAAAUCUUCGGAUGCGCUGAUAAUCCUGGGGACCCGCUUCCAAGAAAAGCGAAAUAUACUGCCCGUACCAAAACCGACACAGGUAGUCGAGGAGAGAAUCCUAAGGUGCUCGAGUGAGUCGUGGCUAAGGAACUAGGCAAAAUAGUCUCGUAACUUCGGAAGAAGAGACGCCUCCCUCCGGGGAGGCCGCAGUGAAGAGGCCCAGGCGACUGUUUAUCAAAAACACAGGACUCUGCUAAAUCGAAAGAUGCUGUAUAGGGUCUGACACCUGCCCGGUGCUGGAAGGUUAAGGAAGGGCGUUAGCGUAAGCGAAGCGUUUGACUGAAGCCCCAGUAAACGGCGGCCGUAACUAUAACGGUCCUAAGGUAGCGAAAUUCCUUGUCGGGUAAGUUCCGACCUGCACGAAUGGUGUAACGAUCUGGGCACUGUCUCAGCCACGAGCUCGGUGAAAUUGUAGUAUCGGUGAAGAUGCCGAUUACCCGCAAUGGGACGAAAAGACCCUGUGAACCUUUACUAUAACUUCGUAUUGACUUCGAGUAAACAAUGUGUAGGAUAGGUGGGAGGCAGUGAAGCAGGCACGCUAGUGUUUGUGGAGCCAACGUUGAAAUACCACCCUUUGUUUACUUGGAGCCUAACUUCUACGGAAGGACAUUGCGUGGUGGGUAGUUUGACUG